GAUGAAGAACGCAGCGAAAUGCGAUAAGUAAUGUGAAUUGCAGAAUUCAGUGAAUCAUCGAAUCUUUGAACGCACAUUGCGCCCGUCAGUAUUCUGGCGGGCAUGCCUGUUCGAGCGUCAUUACGCCCCUCAAGUCCCCUGUGGACUUGGUGUUGGGGAUCGGCGAGGCUGGUUUUCCAGCACAGCCGUCCCUUAAAUUAAUUGGCGGUCUCGCCGUGGCCCUCCUCUGCGCAGUAGUAAAACACUCGCAACAGGAGCCCGGCGCGGUCCACUGCCGUAAAACCCCCCAACUUUUUAUAGUUGACCUCGAUUCAGGUAGGACUACCCGCUGAACUUAAGCAUAUCAAUAAGCGGAGGA
rnacentral:misc_RNA from 1 species